UACGAAGGGGGCUAGCGUUGCUCGGAAUCACUGGGCGUAAAGGGCGCGUAGGCGGGCCCGUUAGUCAGGGGUGAAAUCCCACGGCCCAACCGUGGAAGUGCCUCUGAUACUGCGGGCCUCGAGGGGGAUAGGGGCGUGCGGAACUCAGGGUGGAGCGGUGAAAUGCGUAGAUAUCCUGAGGAACACCGGUGGCGAAAGCGGCGUGCUGGAUCCCUUCUGACGCUGAGGCGCGAAAGCCAGGGGAGCAAACGGG
rnacentral:rRNA from 1 species